GAUGAACGCUAGCGGCAGGCCUAACACAUGCAAGUCGAGGGAGAAGCCUUUCGGGGCAGAAACCGGCGCACGGGUGCGUAACGCGUAUGCAACCUACCUUUCACAGGGGGAUAGCCCGAAGAAAUUUGGAUUAAUACCCCAUAAUAUUGUUGGAUUGCAUCAUCUGAUAAUUAAAACUGCGGUGGUGAAAGAUGCGCAUGCGUCCUAUUAGCUAGUUGGAGUGGUAACGGCACCCCAAGGCUACGAUAGGUAGGGGUCCUGAGAGGGAGAUCCCCCACACUGGUACUGAGACAGGGACCAGACUCCUACGGGAGGCAGCAGUGAGGAAUAUUGGUCAAUGGUCGGAAGACUGAACCAGCCAUGCCGCGUGCAGGAAGAAUGCCUUAUGGGUUGUAAACUGCUUUUAUAUGGGAAGAAUAAGGUGUACGUGUACAUUGAUGACGGUACCAUAUGAAUAAGCAUCGGCUAACUCCGUG
rnacentral:rRNA from 1 species